CAGGGAAUAGUUUAAAUAGAACUU
rnacentral:tRNA from 1 species